CACUUCUAAGGAAGGCAGCAGGCGCGCAAAUUACCCAAUCCUGACUCAGGGAGGUAGUGACAAGAAAUAACAAUAAACCGGCUUAUGCCGGUUUAAUUGGAAUGAGUACAAUUUAAACAUCUUAACGAGGAACAAUUGGAGGGCAAGUCUGGUGCCAGCAGCCGCGGUAAUUCCAGCUCCAAUAGCGUAUACUAAAGUUGUUGCAGUUAAAAAGCUCGUAGUUGGAUUUCUGUGGGGACGGAGCGGCCGGCCGCAACACGCGGUUCGAGCUAGCGCUUUCCCUACAUCCUGCCGCGAACCGUGCUACCAUUAAUUUGGUGGCGCCGGGGAUCGGCUCGAUUACUUUGAGAAAAAUAGAGUGUUCAAAGCAGGCCACAUGCCUUGAAUAAGUUAGCAUGGAAUAAUAACUAAGGACUUCGGUUCUAUUUUGUUGGUGUUCGGGACUGAAGUAAUGAUUGAUAGGGACAGUUGGGGCGGUCUGUAUUCCAAAGCGAGAGGUGAAAUUCUUAGACCUUCGGAAGACAAACAGCUGCGAAAGCGUUCCGCAAGGAUGUUCCCUUUGAUCAAGAACGAAAGUUGGGGGAUCGAAGACGAUCAGAUACCGUCGUAGUCUCAACUAUAAACUAUACCAGCUAGGGAUCGGCCAACGUUAUUUUAUACCGACUUGGUCGGCACCUUAUGAGAAAUCAAAGCAUCUGGGUUCCGGGGGGAGUAUGGUCGCAAGGCUGAAACUUAAAGGAAUUGACGGAAGGGCACCACCAGCCGUGGAGCCUGUGGCUUAAUUUGACUCAACACGGGAAAACUUACCAGGUCCAGACAUAGUAAGGAUUGACAGAUUGAUAGCUCUUUCUUGAUUCUGUGGGUGGUGGUGCAUGGCCGUUCUUAGUUGGUGGAGUGAUUUGUCUGGUUAAUUCCGUUAACGAACGAGACCCCAGCCUGCUAAAUAGCGCGUGUGAGCUUUGCUCGCAGCGAGCUUCUUAGAGGGACUAUGAUGCGCGAUAGCACAUGGAAGUUUGGGGCAAUAACAGGUCUGUGAUGCCCUUAGAUGUUCUGGGCCGCACACGGGCUACACUGGCGCCUGCAACGAGCAUAUCAGCUGGCCCGAGAGGGUCUUGGCUAAUCUUUUGAACCGGCGCCGUGCUUGGGAUUGACCUUUGCAAUUGUUGGUCAUGCAACGAGGAAUGCCUUGUAAACGCGAGUCAUCAGCUCGCAUUGAAUACGUCCCUGCCCUUUGUACACACCGCCCGUCGCUCCUACCGAUGAAUGUUCCGAUGAAAUUUUCGGAGAGCACCUGUGAACUUGGCUCUGCCUUGCGAACGGGAGGCUCAAAGUCACUUAAAUCUGAACAUUUC
rnacentral:rRNA from 1 species